GGCCCCUUGGUCAAGUGGUCUAAGACAUCGCCCUUUCACGGCGAGAACAUGGGUUCAAAUCCCGUAGGGGUCACCA
rnacentral:tRNA from 5 species